rnacentral:lncRNA from 1 species
CUGGAGCACUCGGGGCGGGUGGGCAGGACGAGCGGAGGCCGUGGGUUGGAGCGUGGGAGACCUUCAGGAGCUCCUACGUCCUCUAAGAGGCUUGGCGUAGUCCGGCGAGGUCUCGGGGGUGCGCGGACACCAGCCUCCUCAGCCUCAGGUCUGGAAUCCGGCGGGAUGGGGGACUGGGCGACGGCAUUGUGAGGGCUCGGCGGAGGCGCCAGGGGGCGCUAGCUGGCUCCUCGCAGCCGAUCCAGGCCGCGGCGGUUCCACGAGGUCCGGCGCCCCGCGCCCCGCGACCCGCGGUCCUGGCCAAGCUGUCAGGGAAGGUGCGGCGGAGACCACCCGUUCCUCUUCUCCCUCCCUCCCUCCCUCUUCGGCCGGCGGGGAGUGGCGCCCACCAUCCAGCCUGCGCCUCUGCGCCCUGCACCCCCAUCCGCACCCUUUCUCCGGCCAAGUUUCCCUGCGCCCCCGUUCCUGGUACCCGCGCCGGCCUCCGUGGCUCCUCCACGGCUCUCUCCUGGAAUUAAGCUUCCGGGAAGGGUUUGGCCGAUUCUCAGACUGGAGAAGGCGGGCCCCAGCAGAGGCCCGAGUGAUUUCGAGAAGCCCCGUGGCUGGGCGUCGAUGUUCGCCCUGGACUCAGUGACCCAGUAACCCCACAGCAGGAGGAACAGGCUCGCUACGGGGUUAGGGAACCUUCAGGCGCCGAGAAAAAGAUACGCAACGGCAAGCCAUACUUUUCUGGACACUGGCUCUGGGGGCGCUGCUCCUCUGAACCUCGACUUUCCCCAGGCACGCACCUCAGAGCUGAGCCCCCUGGGGACUCCCAAGCUCUGCGUCUCCCUGAGUCCUGAGGCAGGAGAGGAGGAGGCUUCAGGGGCGGAUGAGCCUCCUCCCCCUAGCCGUACCCUGUCACCCUGGGAGCCUGGAACGUGCAUCUGAGGCCAGAGCGACUCUUGCCUCUUUUCCAGUGAGCUGGGGGAAAGUCACCCUCCUGAGGAGACCAGCCUUCGAGGGCGUCAUGAGCGCGUGUUUGGGGCAGGAACCGGCCGGCCCUCCCUGCUGUGCUACCCCCUGAAACUGGAUGGCCCCCCUUUCAUUCCCCCAGCUCAGGAGAGGCUUGACCCUACUGGAAGCUCGAGGGCGCAGGCCUGGAGGAAAGAGAGGAACAGAAAUCCGGGCUGUGGGGGAGCAGCUGGAAAGCUGGAGAAGCUGGAGGAAGGAUGUUGCUGGCUGUUCUUCCCCCACCCCCAUUCCUGAGUUUGGGGCUGCAGCCCCCACAAAAUCUGCCCUGCAGGUCCAAGUAGUACCCAGCAGCCAAGCAGUAGAAUUUGGGCAGCACCCCGGAAGAGGCUUGCAGGAUAGGACACAGCCCACAAGAAUCAUCCGAGGCUGCACCGUGACCAGCCCCUCAAGACAGAGCGAGACCCAAAUAACCCCCGCGGGCGGACCCGCAGCGUUCUGUGACUCCACCGCGGAGUCCAAAAGGCAGCUGAGGGUGGGAGCGGAGGGGAAGGGAGGGGGGCCACAGGCGCUCGGGCGAGGGAGG